UAAGGAGGGGGCUAGCGUUGUUCGGAAUUACUGGGCGUAAAGCGCACGUAGGCGGCCACUCAAGUCAGAGGUGAAAGCCCAGGGCUCAACCUUGGAAUUGCCUUUGAAACUAGGUGGCUUGAACAUAGGAGAGGCGAGUGGAAUUCCGAGUGUAGAGGUGAAAUUCGUAGAUAUUCGGAAGAACACCAGUGGCGAAGGCGACUCGUUGGACUAUUGUUGACGCUGAGGUGCGAAAGCGUGGGGAGCAAACAGG
rnacentral:rRNA from 1 species